GUGGUUGCUUUGACAGCACAUACACUAAAAUUAGAAAAUACAGAGAAGAUUAGCAUGCCCCUACCCAAGGAUGACACCAGAAUUCAUGAAGAGCUCCAUAUUUUU